UCCCGGGCCUUGUACACACCGCCCGUCACACCAUGAGAGUCGAUAACACCCGAAGCCUGUGACCGAACCGAAAGGAAGGAGCAGCCGAAGGCAGGUCGGAUGACUGGGGUGAAGUCGUAACAAGGUAAC
rnacentral:rRNA from 1 species